UUCUUUUGGCAUGUUGAUGAUGGUUUGAAAAUAGUUGCUUGUGACAUGAUUUAGUUCAUAUUUGAACUAGGUUAGUAUGUAUGGAAAUGAUAAUAUUAACAUGUUUUGGAUGUUUGAAUUUGUAUUUAGUGAAAGUGUAAAUGGAAAUUUUGUAAGUUUGAGCCUUGGUGUUUAUGUAUGGUUGAUGGACUUUUAAUUC
rnacentral:lncRNA from 1 species